CCUAACGGCUGAACCAGCAACUUGGGGGAAUGGAUAUAUAUAUUAGAGAUAAUAUAUAGUACCGACUCUGUCGGCUAAAGUUCUAGAUAGAAUAAUGAUAAUGACAAUUUUCUAUCUAUAUGUCUUGACCAAAUCUUGUGCCAGCAGUCGCGGCAACACAAGGGAGACUAGUGUUAUUCAUCUUUAUUAGGUUUAAAGGGUACCUAGACGGUAUAUCAAGCCCCAAAAGGGAACGGAUAUACUAGAGUUUUAUGUGAGAGGGAAAUAUAGUACUAUUGGAGUAGAGAUAAAAUGUAUUGAUACCUCUAGGCACGGGUAACGGCGAAGGCAAACCUCUAUGUAAAAACUGACGUUGAGGGACGAAGGCUCGGGUAGCGAAUAGGAUUAGAUACCCUAGUAGUCCGGGCAGACAAUUAUGAAUGCCAUAGAUUAGAAUAGACAGGAAGGAAAGUCAAACCUAUUCACAUAAAGAGUAUGUUGGGGCUUUCGACUAACCUUAUCCCCCGUACCCCCGACCCCCCACCGCAUAGAUUGGAUGUGUAAUACACACCAAGGCUAUGCGGCGGCGGGGGAGCGGUGACGGGACAGGUAAGGUUUUUUAUCCUGCAUUUGGUCUAUAAAUGAAAGUGUAAGCAUUCCACCUCAAGAGUAAGGCGGCAACGUUGGAACUGAAAUCAUUAGACCGUUUCUGAAACCAGUAGUGAAGUAUGUUAUUUAAUUCGAUAACCCUCGAAAAACCUUACCACAAUUUGAAUGUUAAUUAAUAAAUUAACACAGGCGUUGCAUGGCUGUCUUCAGUUAAUGUCGUGAGAUUUGGUUAGAUCCAAAAAAUUAUCGUAAACCCUUGUUCUUUAUUUGUUUGAAUAAUGCAGUUAACCGCUAUAUUGGAUUAUAUAAC
rnacentral:rRNA from 1 species